rnacentral:rRNA from 1 species
CCGGCACGGGUGAGUAACACGUAUCCAACCUGCCGUCUACUCUUGGACAGCCUUCUGAAAGGAAGAUUAAUACAAGAUGGCAUCAUGAGUUCACAUGUUCACAUGAUUAAAGGUAUUCCGGUAGACGAUGGGGAUGCGUUCCAUUAGAUAGUAGGCGGGGUAACGGCCCACCUAGUCUUCGAUGGAUAGGGGUUCUGAGAGGAAGGUCCCCCACAUUGGAACUGAGAUACGGUCCAA